rnacentral:rRNA from 1 species
UGGGCAGUAGGUUGGUCGUGCCACCGGUACGUACUGGUCUCACUGAUUCCUCCUUCCUGAAGAACCGUAAUGCCAUUAAUUUGGUGUUGCGGGGAAACAGGACUGUUACUUUGAAAAAAUUAGAGUGUUUAAAGCAAGCUAACGCUUGAAUACAUUAGCAUGGAAUAAUGAAGUAAGACGAUCGAUCCUAUUUUGUUGGUUUCUAGGAUUGACGUAAUGUUAAUAGGGAUAGUUGGG